rnacentral:rRNA from 1 species
GAUGAACGCUGGCGGCGCGCCUAAUACAUGCAAGUCGAGCGAACGGACGAGAAGCUUGCUUCUCUGAUGUUAGCGGCGGACGGGUGAGUAACACGUGGAUAACCUACCUAUAAGACUGGGAUAACUUCGGGAAACCGGAGCUAAUACCGGAUAAUAUUUUGAACCGCAUGGUUCAAAAGUGAAAGACGGUCUUGCUGUCACUUAUAGAUGGAUCCGCGCUGCAUUAGCUAGUUGGUAAGGUAACGGCUUACCAAGGCAACGAUGCAUAGCCGACCUGAGAGGGUGAUCGGCCACACUGGAACUGAGACACGGUCCAGACUCCUACGGGAGGCAGCAGUAGGGAAUCUUCCGCAAUGGGCGAAAGCCUGACGGAGCAACGCCGCGUGAGUGAUGAAGGUCUUCGGAUCGUAAAACUCUGUUAUUAGGGAAGAACAUAUGUGUAAGUAACUGUGCACAUCUUGACGGUACCUAAUCAGAAAGCCACGGCUAACUACGUG